UGCUUGCACCGAUGCUGACGACCGGCGCACGGGUGCGUAACGCGUAUAGAACCUACCUUAUAGUAAGGGAUAGCCCAGAGAAAUUUGGAUUAAUACCUUAUGGUAUCAUAAAUUGGCAUCGAUUAUUGAUUAAAGAUUUAUCGCUAUAAGAUGGCUAUGCGUUCUAUUAGCUAGUUGGUAUGGUAACGGCAUACCAAGGCUACGAUAGAUAGGGGUCCUGAGAGGGAGAUCCCCCACACUGGUACUGAGACACGGACCAGACUCCUACGGGAGGCAGCAGUGAGGAAUAUUGGACAAUGGAGGCAACUCUGAUCCAGCCAUGCCGCGUGUAGGAAGACUGCCCUAUGGGUUGUAAACUACUUUUAUAGAGGAAGAAACCCCGAUAUGUAUAUCGGUCUGACGGUACUCUACGAAUAAGGAUCGGCUAACUCCGUGCCAGCAGCCGCGGUAAUACGGAGGAUCCAAGCGUUAUCCGGAAUCAUUGGGUUUAAAGGGUCCGUAGGCGGGUUUGUAAGUCAGUGGUGAAAGUUUACGGCUCAACCGUGAAAUUGCCAUUGAUACUGCAAGUCUUGAAUCAUUAUGAAGUGGUUAGAAUAAGUAGUGUAGCGGUGAAAUGCAUAGAUAUUACUUAGAAUACCGAUUGCGAAGGCAGAUCACUAAUAAUGUAUUGACGCUAAGGGACGAAAGCGUGGGUAGCGAACAGGAUUAGAUACCCUGGUAGUCCACGCCGUAAACGAUGGUUACUAGCUGUUCGGACUUCGGUUUGAGUGGCUAAGCGAAAGUGAUAAGUAACCCACCUGGGGAGUACGUUCGCAAGAAUGAAACUCAAAGGAAUUGACGGGGCCCGCACAAGCGGUGGAGCAUGUGGUUUA
rnacentral:rRNA from 1 species